CAUGCACAUGCAGAAGCCCGUGGAGACCAGAAGACGAUGUCAAGACCAUGGAAUAGUAGUUACAGGGGGUGGUGAGAUUUCGAUUUUCCUGAAGAUCUGUCUGUGUGUCCUUCUAAGGCUGCUCUACUCACUGGCCUGCAUUCAUGGGUCAACAAAUGUUUAGUGCAUGAAUGAAUGGCAUGACUAAGGCAAUCCAUGGUCAAGGUUACAAGUGCAUCAUAGCUGAAUAGCUGAAGCUCUGGUCAUCCACUGGAAAGUCUUCCUCCAAUCAAAUACCAAUCAUCUCACCCCUGUAACAUCUUCAUAGCAUCACCCCCACUCCAUCGCCAUUUCCUUAGUUCUGGCUUUUAUCAUCAACUGAGAGAUGAGAGCUAAUAUUUUCCAGAGUAACAAUAUGCCCCAUCUAUUCCUGGAAGAACCCCAAAUGGCGGUAUGAUUUUCAUCAUCAUUGAUCUGUACAAAAAGCUGAGUCUCAUGGUCCAAAGGUUCUAAACAAGGAAAUUGCAGAUGUUUAAAGAUGCUAUUGUUUAAGUAUGCAGAUGUUUAAGACAGGCUAUUUACUGGUUUGAUUAUAGUACAUUUUGUACAU